rnacentral:rRNA from 1 species
AUGAGGGGAACACAUCAGGGUCGGGUCGGGUCGGGUGGGGGCGCACCUUCCGAGGACCUUGGCGAGGGUCUGGAUGUAGCAGUCGAUCAUCUGGUGCUUGGUGGCGCCCUCGCCGCCGGGCUUGUCCAUGACGAUGAGCCAGUGCUCGUAGUCGCACCCGGGGAACAGCGGCGCCAUCUCGGUGGGCGCGCGGUCCCCUCCGCCUCCUCCUCCUCCGGAACGGGCCGGCGAGUAGCCGUCGCCGCCCGGCCGGCGCGCCAUCCCGCGGAGGAAGCCGAGGCGGGAGGCGACGCCCGCGAGCGCCGCCGGGCGCAGCAGCGGCUCGUGGGGCGCCGCCGCCGCCGCCGCGCCCCCGCGGCGGAGGAGGGCGGAGAUGGAGACGGGGGAGGAGGACGCGCGGCGGGCGAGGAGCCUCCGGGCUCCGGUGGCUGCGGCGGAGGCGGCCAUCUGCGUAAAACCCUAGCGGCUGCAGUGGGUUCCGGGUGGUGCGAGGUGGGGUGGGUGUGUGUGAGCGUGAUGGGUUUUGGGUAG